UGAUUCCUUAUUCCUUUAAUAUUGUUUUGAUUGAUACCGUAUUGUACAUUACAUGUAUGUCCCAAAGUUUUUAAAUCCUACUGCUGUAACACAAGGUGUCUUAAUUUUGGCAUAUUGACCAAGUGUGGUAGUUUCAUUCAUAUUCAAUAGAAAUAAACGCUGUUAGUGUUUGUCAGAGAGAGAGAGAGAGAGAGAGAGAGAGAGAGAGAGAGAGAGAGAGAGAGAGAGAGAGAGAGAUUGUGAAUUGUCAGCACUGCACAGUCAUGUUGAAAUGAAUAAGAGUGGUGUCAAAUUGUGAUGAAGUCUUAUUGUGUGAGAGGGAAGUAUGAUGAUGGCGGUGAUGUCUGCAAGAGAGGUGUCAGAUUAAUUGUGAUGAUGAUGAUGUGUAAUUAUAAGAGAUGACACAGUGUGAUGAUAAUGUCUCGAGAUGAACGGAGGUGUCAAACGAUGAUGAUGAUAUAAUUUGAGAGAGAUGUCAAAUUUUGGUGUAGAUGAUGAAGGUGAUAAAUCAGAUGUCUGAGUAAGAAAAGCGUCAAAUGAAUUGUGAUGAUGACGGUGUGCCUGUAUGAGAGGAGGUGGCAAACUAUGAGGAUGAUGAUGAUGAUGAAGUGAUGAUGAUGUCUAAGUGAGAGAAGUGUCAAAUUGUGGUGAUGAUGAGGAUGAUGAUGAUGUUAGAUUGUGUGAGAGAAGAUUCUGUGAUACUUUUUCAUCCAGGUCCUUAAUUUUGUGCUAGACAUAUCCACAUAUUCUAUACAUAUUUACUCCCGGACGGUAAUGACAGACUCUAAAAUCUUUUGUUCUUUUUGUCGUCCAUUUUCAACAAUAAUGUUAAUUUUUAAAAAUCACACAAAAGGUGACAUAUUGUAAGCAAGAGGGGUUAAGAGAGGUUUCAAAUUUACGUCAAUAUUGUGUAUCACAAAAUUCUGAUGUUUGUUUAUAGGUACAUGUACUUAAUUCCAUGCUAUAAAUACUAACACUUAACCGAUCUUUGUUACCUUGAGAGGGGAAUGUGAGACUCAAAAAUAAACCUUAUUUACGCU
rnacentral:sRNA from 1 species